GAUGAACGCUGGCGGCGUGCUUAACACAUGCAAGUCGAACGAAACACCUUAUUUGAUUUUCUUCGGAACUGAAGAUUUGGUGAUUGAGUGGCGGACGGGUGAGUAACGCGUGGGUAACAUGCCCUGUACAGGGGGAUAACAGUCAGAAAUGACUGCUAAUACCGCAUAAGACCACAGCACCGCAUGGUGCAGGGGUAAAAACUCCGGUGGUACAGGAUGGACCGGCGUCUGAUUAGCUGGUUGGUGAGGUAACGGCGCACCAAGGCGACGAUCAGUAGCCGGCAUGAGAGAGUGAACGGCCACAUUGGGACUGAGACACGGCCCAAACUCCUACGGGAGGCAGCAGUGGGGAAUAUUGCACAAUGGGGGAAACCCUGAUGCAGCGACGCCGCGUGAGUGAAGAAGUAUUUCGGUAUGUAAAGCUCUAUCAGCAGGGAAGAAAAUGACGGUACCUGACUAAGAAGCCCCGGCUAACUACGUG
rnacentral:rRNA from 1 species